rnacentral:rRNA from 1 species
GACGAACGCUGGCGGCGUGCUUAACACAUGCCAGUCGAACGGAAAGGCCCUGCUUUUGUGGGGUGCUCGAGUGGCGAACGGGUGAGUAACACGUGAGUAACCUGCCCUUGACUUUGGGAUAACUUCAGGAAACUGGGGCUCAUACCGGGUAGGAGCUCCUGCUGCAUGGUGGGGGUUGGAAAGUUUCGGGGGUUGGGGCUCUGAUCGCUGGUUAUCAGCUGCAUGGGCGGGUGGUGGCUUACCAAGGCUUUGACGGGUAGCCGGCCUGGGAGGCUGACCGGCCACAUUGGCACUGAGGUGCGGCACAGAGUGCUAAGGGAGGGAGAAGUGCGGAAGAUUGAACAAUGGGCGGCACGCGGAUGCAGCAACGCCGCGUGCGGGAUGACGGCCUUAGGGUUGUAAACCGCUUUCGCCUGUGACGAAGCGUGAGUGACGGUAAUGUGUAAAGAAGCACCGGCUAACUACGUG